rnacentral:rRNA from 1 species
UCCUACGGGGGGCAGCAGUCUAGAGGCUUCGGCAAUGGGGGCAACCCUGACCGAGCGACGCCGCGUGUGGGAUUGAAGGCCUUCGGGUCGUAAACCACUGUCAUUGGGGAAGAAUGCCCGCCUGGCGAAGGCGGGAGCGACGGUACCCAAGAAGGAAGCCCCGGCUAACUCCGUGCCAGCAGCCGCGGUAAUACGGAGGGGGCGAGCGUUGUUCGGAUUUACUGGGCGUAAAGGGUGUGUAGGCGGCUGGGCAAGUCUGGUGUGAAAUCUUCACCGCUCAACGGGAAGAGGUCACUGGAAACUGCCUAGCUCGAGUAUGGUAGAGGCAAGCGGAAUUCCUGGUGUAGCGGUGGAAUGUGUAGAUAUCAGGAAGAACACCGGUGGCGAAGGCGGCUUGCUGGGCCAUCACUGACGCUGAGACACGAAAGCGUGGGGAGCAAACGGGAUUAGAUACCCCGGUAG